UUCAGAGAACUAUUAAUUUACUUUUUCUUAAAGAGAAAGACUCCUCUCUGAAAGGCUAUAGCUGUAGGAAACUCAGCAUAUGUUAAUCCUUUCUAAAGAACUUGGUUGGAAAAAAAGUAUAAUUACUGUGGCUUUGCUUUCUGAUUGGCCUUUCUUUCUGACUAGAUCAGGAAAUGCCUAGAGUAUUUGUAGAUCUAAAAAUGAUGACAAAGGAAAUAGAUCUAAUCUCAAAACAAGUUUCUGAUGUACACCAAACUAGGACACAUUAGGUUAAAUCUUAAAGUCUUUUUUAACGUUCUGUAAUCUGAGAUUAUUAACGUUUUGAAGGUUUAAGAAUAUUAAUUCUAGCAAUUGACAUCUUCACAGGUGACAGUGUAAAUCACAGAGCUUAAAAUUUCUUGGAUACAGAUUUAUUUCAAAUUGCCCCAUGGCUAUCAAGCAACUUUCACAUGGUGGAGAAUGCCAACUGUAUUCCUUUCUGCAAAAGUAGAGGUUCCUUUUAUUUAUUUAUUUAGUUUUUUUAGAGGUUCCUUUUAAAGGUGAUUGCAUGAUAGGGCCUUGACAAUAAACUAGUCCAGCGUCCUCUGUGGCAGCUUCUAAAAUGGCUUCCAGUGAUUCCCAGCCUCCUGGUAUUUUUGCCUGUAUUAGUUCACUAGAGCUGCCAUAACAAAAUACCACAGACUAGGCAAUUUAAACACAGAAAUGUAUUUUUUCACAGUUCUGGAGGGUGGAAGCUCAAGAUCAAGGUUUUGACAUAUUUGCUAUCUCUCAUAUGGCUUUCUUCUUGCCUGAUAGAUGACUGUCUUCUUACUGCAUCUUCACAGGGCCUUUCCUCUGCCUGUGAGUCCCUGGUAUCUCUUCCUGUUUUCAUAAUGAUUCUAGUCACUGGAUUAGGGCUACUCUCAUGACCUAAUUUAAUCUUAUUACCUCUUUAAAGGCCCUGUCUCCUAAUACAGUCACAUUCUAAGAUACUGAAAUUGGAACUUCAAGAUAAGAAUUUUAUGGUGACUCAAUAGUGCCCUUGUGUAAUCCCUUCCCCUUGAGUGUGGGAUGGACCUAGUGACUGGCUUCUAAUGAUUUAAAUAUGGCACAAAUGGCAAUAGCUUGCUUUUGAUAUUGGGCUAAAAAGACUAUGAUUUUUGUCUUGUUCAGUCUUUUUUUCUGGUUCUUCUUGCUUGCUUGUUCUGAUGGAAGCAAGCUGCCAUGUUGGGAGUCCCCUGUGGAGAGAGGCCCACUUGGCAAGAAACAGAGGGUCUUGCAGCCUGCAGCUCCAAGGAACUGAGGUUCUCUGUCCAACAACCCAGUAGGAACUGAAUCCUGCCAAUGGCCACAUGAGUGAGAUUGGAAGCAGAUUCUUUUCCACUCGAAUCUUGAGAUGACUGCAGUCUCAGCUGCCACGUGGACUACGAUCUGGCCUUCCUUAGAUAUCUGGUAACCCUUGGAUGUCUGCUCAAGGGAAAUCUGACACAGCUAGAAAGCAAUGGAAAACACUAAGGGUUGCAUCAGAUGUUGAAGAGAAACUGAUCAAGCUGUGGAGAUAAAAAGGAUCUCUCUUAAGAUGGAUUUUUAAAAAGCUGGUCAU